GGUCCCCAGUCCUGGUCCCCAGUCCUGGUCCCCAGUCCUGGUCCCCAGUCCUGGUCCCCAGUCCUGGUCCCCAGUCCUGGUCCCCAGUCCUGGGCCCCAGGCCUUGGCCCCCGUCCACGUCCCCAAUCCCCGGGCCCCGCCCCGCCCCCCCCCCCCCCUCCCCGCACCGGCGCAGUGCCGGAGGCGCCCGGGAUCAGGGUGGGGAGGGGGGGGCAGGAGGGGUCCCAGCACCAUUGGGGACCGCACCCGCUUGGAGGGGGUGGGGGCAGCACCCAGGGGUGCCCCGGAGGCCCCCGCCAAGGCAGCGGGGCUGGGUGUUGAGGGGGGGCCACGGGGCACCAGCCCAAGGUGACCCCGAGCCUGGCUCCCCCCGGGCACGUGAGCGGCCGCCGCCGCGCGCCCGAAAUAGCCCCGGGUGCUGGGGGGGCGCGGGGCACCCAGCCUGGCGUGGGGCACCCAGCCCGGGAAGGGGACGGUCCCCACGGUGUCCCCACCACCGGGAGCUGGAAAAGGGGGCGCUGAGCACCCAAACCGUGCCCGGCGAUGCCACCACCGUGCCACCACCACCGUGCCGGGGACCCACGGAGCCACGGUGCGCCCCACCGGGCACCCUGCCCGUGCCCGCCUUCGCCCUCCCCGCAACGCCCGUCGCUCCUCCUGCUCCUCGGGGAGAGGAUCCCGGUGCCCGGCUCCGCCUGUCGGGCGUUCGACAACACAGCCCCGAGCCCCACGGCUGCACGGCUCCGUGGCUUGGGGGGGGGCACCAGGGAGGGGGGGUCCCGGAGCUGCCGUCCUGUCCGUCCGCCCGCCCGCAGCUGCUCCAGGCUUUGCCGCCAGCCGCAGCUCGCUUGCCCCGGGAAAGUGCGUGGCGAGGCGGGGAGGGGGCCGCUUCCUGGUGCCGCGGCCCCCCCCAGGAAGGGACGGGGACGGGGAGGUGCGCCCGCCGCCACGCAGCACCCCACGCCUGCAAGGGUGGGCGGGGGGUCCGCGGGGGGGGACACCCGACCCCCUCCCUGGGGUUCCAAGGGGUGAGCGGGGAGGGGGGGGGCUUUGGCACGAAUCCGGCCCCGCACCGGGGCUGUGGGGGCAGCCAGCACCCCGACACCACACCGGGCACCCCAGGGCUGUGCCCCCCAGCCCCCCCGCAUCCACACCCCACGCUGCGUGCAGGGCGGCAGCGCCGUGGCUCUGCAAAGGUCAGCGCAGCAGUGAGGGGGGGGCGAGGGAGCGUCAGGCUGCGCCCCCACCCCAGCAGCACCGCGCACCCGCCCAGGGACCCCCGGCACCAGCAGUGUUUGGGGGGGGGGCACCCCGAUGGGAGCAGCAGGGGGGCACGGGCAGCUGCACACCGACAGCAGGGGGGGCGCCGAACCCUUCCAGCGCGCCCCCACCCUGCGCCAAGACCCCCGGGGGGGGGGGGGGGAGGGAUCGUGGCGUCGAGCGAGUGAGCGAGCGGGAGAAGCCUUCCCCAAACUGGUUCCACCGGGGCCUGCCGUGCCGCACGGCUGCGCCGCCACCGGCCCCCGCCCCGCGCCGAGCCGCGGGGGUCCCCGGCACGCAGGGAGGCCACGGGGCGGGCGGCGCCAGGGCUGGCACCGGCGGAGGUCAAGCGGGGUGAGGCNNNNNNNNNNNNNNNNNNNNNNNNNNNNNNNNNNNNNNNNNNNNNNNNNNNNNNNNNNNNNNNNNNNNNNNNNNNNNNNNNNNNNNNNNNNNNNNNNNNNNNNNNNNNNNNNGCUGCCUGGCACGCGCCCGGCACGGCUCGGCGCGGCACAGCUGGCGGCGAGGUCGUGCCGGAGGCCCGAGCGAGCGCCGGCUCGGCUCGGCCGCCCGGGGUGACCUUGGCCGCGGUGCCCGGCUGCCCUGCCUCAGUUUCCCCCCAGAGCACCGGGGGCUGCACCGGAGCCGGGCCCGGCACCGUGGCACACGCCCCGGUGGUGGCACCGUGGCCAGAGGUCCCACCACCACGCUUCUGCUCAGGUUGGGGGGGACGAGGCCGCUUGCCCCCCCCUCUCUCCUCUCCGAAUCGGGAGGCGGCGUGCCCGGGGAGGCCGGGGCGGGUUUGGGGAGGGCAAGGCCCCGCCACGCCCCUCGGCCCCGCUCGUGGGGGCACCCCGACGGGCACGGCCACGGCCUGUCGGUGUCCCCGUCUCUGCCCGUGCCGUGGACGCCCCCACCCCGGCGUAAAGCAGCGCAACCAACCAAACACCACCAAAAAAAAAAAGAAAAAAAAAAAAAAAAAAAGGGCCCCCCCUCCCCCCAGCAGAGAAAAAAAAAAAAAAUCAGAAAUUAAAAAAAAAAAAAAUCAAAAAUAUUAAAUGCAUUCCUGACGCCGCCUGCCAAGAGCGGGGCGGGGACGGCCACGGGGCACGGCCACGGCCCCACCGCCGCCACGGUGGGCCACGGCACCACCACCACGGCCAGGCCACGGCCUCCCUGCAGCACCGUGGCCACGGCACGGCCACGGCACCGCCACGGGGUCCCUGCAGCACCGUGGCCACCGGUGACCGUGCAGCCACGGUGCAGGCCCACGGCCACGCCACGCCGCAGCCACGCAGCCGCCGAGGGGCUGGGGGGGAGCUGCGCCGUGCGUGGCCCCCCCCUCGGUUGGCGGCGCCGUUGUGUCCCCCCCACACACACACACACCCAGCGGGGGUGGGCAGCGGCUGUGCCCCCCCCCCCCGGGGCAGCUCCGCGCUGCAGCCCCGAGCGGUGCAGGAGGGGGGGGGGAUAAAAAGAGGGGAG
rnacentral:lncRNA from 1 species